AUUGAACGCUGGCGGAAUGCUUUACACAUGCAAGUCGAGCGGCAGCGCGGGGGCAACCCUGGCGGCGAGCGGCGAACGGGUGAGUAACAUAUCGGAACGUACCCCGUCGUGGGGGAUAACACAGCGAAAGCCGUGCUAAUACCGCAUACGACCUGAGGGUGAAAGCGGGGGAUCGCAAGACCUCGCGCGAUGGGAGCGGCCGAUAUCGGAUUAGCUUGUUGGUGAGGUAAAGGCUCACCAAGGCGACGAUCCGUAGCUGGUCUGAGAGGACGACCAGCCACACUGGAACUGAGACACGGUCCAGACUCCUACGGGAGGCAGCAGUGGGGAAUUUUGGACAAUGGGGGCAACCCUGAUCCAGCCAUUCCGCGUGAGUGAAGAAGGCCUUCGGGUUGUAAAGCUCUUUCAGCAGGAACGAAACGGUGGCCACUAAUACUGGCUACUAAUGACGGUACCUGAAGAAGAAGCACCGGCUAACUACGUGCCAGCCGCCGCAGUAAAAC
rnacentral:rRNA from 1 species